UCAACGCAGCAUCCCCUCCCCUUGCUAAACCGCGGUCUCCGCCUACCCCCAAUCAAUCUCAAGGAAGCUCUUUGGGAGCCAGGAUUCCCAGCACUUAGCUGGUGGGCAAAGGGGUUCAACCCCUUCCCCACACCCCACCUUCCCUCCUCCCAGUCUUCGGGAUUGCGGAGCUCCUGCCGGGAUCCAAGAGCAGGCUCUUGGAGGUCGAAGAAGGAUAUAACCUCCAGACCUGGAAUUUAAGACGCAAGAACCAGCCAGCAAAAGUGGCAGCCGAGCAUGCGAGGGACUGCUGAUGGCUUUUUAUUAGGAAGCUAUGCAACUUGAGGUUCUACUGAAAAGGAGAAGAGGCCACUGGAGAUGGGAAGCCACGAAAACAUGAAGAUGUAGAAGUCUCAGCUCCUUCAAUGCUAUGUCUGCCAAGAUGCUGCCACACUCCCUUCUUGAUGAUAAUGGACUGAACCUCUGAACCUGGACGAGAAACUACAGCAUUACUUCUGCAGAUUCACAAAGGAGUCCACGUUCCAAGAUGAGAGAAAUACCAGAAGCCGAUGGCUAUUCUACUUGACUGAAUGAAAAGAAAAGGAAGGCACUUCCUGUCAAUCCUGCUUUGGAUUCCUAGACAGUUUAAGAAGCACCAUUGAUCUGAUCAUUGGCACUGAGGAGGAAAUGCCCAUCCGCAGAAGACAUGCAGGGCUCAACCCAGCUUGACAUGGGCAGUGAGUGGUUUCUGAUGUAACCCUUUCUGUAAACUACCCCCUCACACACAUGUAAACCCCUGCUUCCUCCUUUAAGUAGCCACAUUGGUGGUGCCUCUGUUGUAAGGUUACAGGGGAGAAUGACUAGACAGUAGUGAGGAAAGCAUUUGGGAAGGUGAUUCGUUUCUGUUUUUCUGGUACUCUCCCAAAACAGGAGAUACUCUUGUUGCAUAGAUGCAGUCAGUGGUUUCUUGCAGUCAGUGGUUUCUUGGAUUUGGGGAGUUAAAAGUCAUGUGACACAGGCCUAUUGACACAUCGAUGUGAGGAGUUUAAGGUAAUGCUGCUGUGAUUGAGAAGAAUCGCCCCAGUAAAGCUUUAGCAUGAAGCCAAGCAGCUUAUAAUGACACAGGAUUCUCAAUGAAUGAAGUUUUAAGGGAUAAAAUCUUUACAAUGAAAUAAAAACAAUCUUAAGAAAACGAUUAGGCUCUAGUAAAAAUAAGCUGUGUUUUAAGAGUGGUUUCUAUAUUCAGCGUUAUUAUCCUUCACUUAUACUCAGAUAAAUAUGUUAUGCUCAAGCUGGCUCAUAGUCUUCAGAAAUAAGAAUGGACAUUAUACUUUGAUGUAAUAUCAACAUGUUGCAUAUACAAAGUAAACACUUUUGGUGAUAAAAAAUAUUGACUAUAAAUGUCAACAAACUUAUUUUGUCUUUCAGUUUAAAAAAAAUUAAUUGUAUUUUGUGUA
rnacentral:lncRNA from 1 species